GGGACGGGGCUAGCAGUCGUACCUGCCGGAAGAGGCGGAGCUAGAAACGCCGCGCCGACCCACGGGGGGCGCCUGCGCACAGCGGGCAGUGCGCUCGUUUGCUGGCUCGCGGAGCUGCCGGUGGUGCAGGUGCUAGCUGCGUGGUGGGUGGCGGCUCAGGGCCCGUGAGCAGUGAAGAUGCUGUAGGAGCGUUGCCUCGGCAAGCAGGCGUCCUCCCACCUGCUGUCGCCGUGGGACUCUAGGCAGUUACUUGGUGACGCCACCCCCGGCAGGCGGUGGCGUGUAGAGGCGAGCCCCGCACCCGGCUGCGCGGGUUCCCUGAACGCUCACAGCGCGAGAGGUGAGCACGUCUUCAUCUUGUGGGGCAAGACGACGUGCAGCCCAGGCAGAGAACGAAGGUGUAGCCCAGGGUGAAGCCCUCGGACUUGGCUCUGGGGCCCUACGCUCUGUGCUACAGAGAAGGGCCAGGAAGACUAGCCCUAAAGAAACACAGCUACCUUCUCAGAUUUGCUGGGACUCACUGGCCACGAGAUCAGACCUGAGCUGUUUCAGGGAGCACGAAAAGCUGCGGCUGCGGGGCUAGAACAGGCGUUCCCCAGUCCUACCUACCCUUGUCUCCACGUCAGUCCACUCAGACUCCGUCCCGUCGGGCUGGGUUGGCGCUGCUGUGGAAGAUCUGCGUUUCCGACUAUGGAAAAGGGAAACGUGGUGCAACAGUUAUUUUUGCAUCUGAGAACAGGAGAAUUAGAAAUAGGAAAACACCAUAUAUACGUCGAGAGAAUUAAGGAUACACUCUGUAGGACAGCCUGUCCCUCAAGCAUGGGCAGUAAGACAAUGACAGCUCUCGAAAGGCAGGCAGCUGAUGGCUACUUACCCAGUUGGUGAUUCUUGUUUUACAGUCUCAAUAUCAGUAAACUGGACGGAUUGUCCACCACCCCUUGUUUUAAAAACAUCACCCUACAGCCAAGAGAAAAGGUCACCAUUACACUUUGAUACAUCCAGCUGAUACACAAGUAUGUGUCAAAUUGCAUUUAAGACUCCUGUCUUACGGAACUCCCACCCACCAAACCAGGCGGCGCCUGGACGGCUGGGUCUGCACCACCCAAGUGCAUUGAGAUUUGCAUUCCCGUCCUUCACUGAACGCAAGUCCAGUGCCGUGUAAUCAGCAGCAGUCUUAACUGCAGAAAAUAACAUUCCUUUUUGUUCAGCCCAUUUGAAAACUUAACUAAAGAUCAAGAAAUCUGCCAGAAAUUUCGAGAUGUUCUAAGGCAGUAAAUACACUCUCUCCUCAGACUCAAAUGACGGCACAGCCUUAUUUGUGAUUAUAGCUUCUCAUGAGAACCAUCCCCCAAGAUCAAUUUGAAAUGAAUAACUACCCCCCCGCAAGUCUUGUUUCUUACUCUCCUUGAGCGUUAACUGACUCUGACCGGAAGAAGAUGCAGUUCUGCGGGCAGGGAGAGGGGCUUGGGUAGCUCGGCCCUGAAGCACUUUGGCAGGCCAGACUUCAACGUGGGCUUCCUACCCUAACCGACACAAAGCAGAGCGGUUCUUCCGUCUACUGUUUAAGUUGGGGUUAAAACCAACUACUUGUUAAUUAAAAGUGCAAAACAGAUACAAAGUUCCUCUAACAAACCUGAGGCUCUAAGUCUCAUUCAGUAAAGUAACAGAUUCAGCCCCAAUUUUGUGGAUUCAAAACCCAAGUAGUUAGUUUUCUAAGAAACAAAAAGGUUUUAUCAAAUACCCAUUUAUGGUCCAUUUGACGCUGCCUGCGGGUCAUCAGAGUAAAUGGAUUUUUGUUAAGCUGACUUUUUGCGUAUUUUUUCCCUUGUGUGACGUUUUUACCUUAAUUAACUUAGUUUCAAUCUCCCCAUCGGAGGCUAGUUCCUGGUGGGUCAGCAUGUACUUCUCACACUUAGCUAGGGCCUUUUCACUUGGAACAGACACAGUGAUGGCAUGAGGGACAUGUGGCUGCAUGACUGUCUCAGUCUGCACGUUAGAGGCGGGCUUAUGAUCUACCCAUCUGUCUCCUGCGGAGCGCGACCGUCUGUGUCUCAGACGAAUUGGUGGUGCGUUCUGAUCAGGUCGGAAGAGGAAUCAAGAAACAAGCACAACCCAGAAUUAAUUUCAGGGUACCAUUAGAAGUGCAGCAGGUUUGGCUACAAUAUCAAGACAAAUGCAUGAACCUUUCAAAAGCUAAAUGUUACUCAAGCAAUUUAAAUAAUCUCUUUGUAUUAAACACAAAAGCAACAAACAUCUUUUAAUACCAGCUGUGUAAUUAUUAUUAUAUAUUCUACCAGGGAGCUUCCCUUCAAACAAAGAGUGGAAGGAAGGUUCUGCUGGUCUUUGCUGCGUAGGUGGUUUUCAUGGCGAAUAACUGAUUCUGCAUUCUCCAUCAAAAGCCAGUGUUUGUGCCUGCUAUUGUGAGGUUACCUAUUUUGCCCACAACUAUGUACAAAGCUUCGAAAAGAUCAAUAAAAGCCCUAAACACACCAUAGGCCUCUAAACAAAAGAGAAAAUAUCCCUUUUACAAAGCAGGACCCCCCCCCAAAAAACGCCGAUGGAGCUGCAGAGCACAAAAUGCCAAAGAACACGAGGUGCAGUGAGAGUCCCACGAAUAAACUGCUAGAAGAACGUAAAUGACGAAAUAACGUUCUUCUGAGCACUUUAAACACCUCGGAACAGAACUUCCUGAAGAGUUCAAACACAGUGAUGGCCAAAACUUACCAACUUUCCCCCCAAAUAUUUAAGGUUCCAAGAACCAGAUAAAGAAUAGUGUCAAAUCAGUCUAUCGUACAAAAAAAAGCUAGAUCCUUCCAGUAAAAUGCAUGUAAAUUUAGGAAAGUUAAAUUUAGCACAUUCAGCCUAAGAAAAAAAUAAUUCACAUAUAGAACAUAGUUAACAGUUUGAAGCAAUGAGUUUAUCUGUGUAACUUUGCAAACGUCUUCUGUUUGCAAAACUGAAAGCAAAUGAGACCAUCUGCCACAGGCCAGAUCCUGCAUAGCUGGUCAGGUGAACAUCUGACUUCAAAGUGCAUCUCUGGAGAACGGAAGAGUUUUCCCUGCACAGUUUCAAGAAACAAAUGAAGCACUGGCGACAGAGCAUGGUACUAAACCACAGGCGAUAGUUUGCGCUAAGGAUGCCCGAGCCUCAGGACAAGCCGGAAGCUUCCCAUUCUCAAAAUGGCUCAACUGAACAAGAAAGAAAGGGGCUCUCCUGACCUUCCAUGUAGUAAAUUGACUAGGCACCUGCACUUGAACAAGCUGAAGUACAUCCAACACAAAAACCUUCACUGCGCACACCUGCACCUCCAGCUGCUCCUCCGUCGAGGUUUCCCUGAGUCGUGUUAUCCUCUCGCCGACUCUCCACACCCAGGUGGACCUACUUCCUAACUAGCUCUCACUCCGGGCCGACCUCUGCCUCCAGGCGACACGGUCGUGCGUCGGAGUCACUACAGAAGGCUCCCACUCCUUUCGCACUCUAGACUUAGACUUGCCUCUGGGAAAAUGAUCUUUCUAAAAGACCAGUCACCCUCGCUGACUUUAAGAGGCUGUGUAACAGCAGAAAGACAAAAUUUUGAGAGUCCCACCAGCCUGGGUUUGAAGCAGGCUCUAACCGUGGGAAACCUACUUGGGCCUCUCCCGACCCAUCUCAUCUGAGAAGCGGGUCUGACACAGUCCUGAGAAGCUGACGCAAGAAACCAAGCCCACGGCACGGCACACACCGGUCCUUUAGUACCUGGCAGCUGCCACUGCUCCUUCAGGAAAAGCUGUGGGCUCAACAAGCGUCUUCGUGGCUGCGCCCUGCGCUCCUGCCUCCCGGCUCAGCAGCCCACACCCUCCACUUCGGCUGCAUGGACGCCACCUUGUCCUCUCAGGGACGAUGCCCUUCAUCCUGCCCUUAUUCAGACUCACGCCUCAACUGAAGCAUCAGCUCCCUGAGCUCUUCCCCGGAGCCCCCCUCGCGCACGGCCCCGGGCUGGACGGGGCGGUCACCCCCCCCAACACACUCCGCGCAGGCGCCCCGGCUCCCCUCACACGCACUGGCCGGGACGCCAGGGCGGGGCUCUGUCCUCGUGUCCGUGCUCAGCCCGUCACACAGCAGCACUCCACAAACGUUACUAACACACAACAGGCCAUGAAUGGCUGUACUAGGUGAAAAGUUGAGCAAAGCAAAGACCAUGCAGAGCUCCUUUUGAGUGGCUUUGUGUUCACUUUUCUUGUCUUCAGAAGCUGGGUUUCACCACUAUGAAUGUUGGAAUAAAUGUGAAGUCACUUAAUUUAAGGGACCCAGUACUGGCUUACUAGCCAUAGAUAUAAAAAACUGCCAAGAUAACUUACAUUUUAGUCACUUUUCCGCAUUCUUAAAGACAUCAGUGUGUUGUAAUGUAUCAAUACGGAAACAGCGUAACUAAAAACAAAGCACUGACCUCUCAGCCUCCAAACUGUCAAACUGACGAACAGUCACGCAUGAGCCACCCAUCGGUGCGCAGACGCACCGGCCCCGCAGGGCCCUGAAAGCCGCAGCCGGACGGAGCCGCGCGCACUCAC